AAGAAAAACUUCUCAAUCUGCAGAAUCCAAGUUUCUGCAACUAAAGGAUCAGAUCCACGGUCAAAAUGAGGAGGGUUUAGCCUCAAAAACUCAAAAAUGUUAUGAGAAAUGGUUCUAUAUAUGGGAUAAAAGUUAUUGGUAGGAGGGGUCUGAUCAUAUUGGGCCUUAUUGUGACCUACUGCAGUAGUCAGGCUCUAAAUAACUCGAAAGAGCUCCAUAAACUCAGCCCGAAUCGGGG
rnacentral:lncRNA from 1 species